rnacentral:rRNA from 1 species
GGUCAAGUUAUUAAGGGUGCAGGGCGGAUGCCUUGGCACUAGGAGCCGAUGAAGGACGCGAUAAGCUGCGAUAAGCUUCGGGGAGUUGCACGUAAACUUUGAUCCGAAGAUUUCCGAAUGAGGAAACUCACUUAGAGUAAUGUCUAAGUAUCAUUAAGUGAAUACAUAGCUUAAUGAGGGGAACUCAGGGAACUGAAACAUCUAAGUACCUGAAGGAAGAGAAAGAAAUUCGAUUCCGUAAGUAGCGGCGAGCGAACGCGGAAUAGCCCAAACCAAUAAAGUUUUCUUUAUUGGGGUUGCGGACAUAUCUUAAACGAAGAGGUAUCGUAAUUGAAGAGGUUUGGAAAGACCCACCACAGAAGGUAAUAGUCCUGUAUGUCAAACGAGAAAACUUCAGAUAUGAUCCAGAGUACCACGGGACACGUGAAACCCUGUGGGAAGCAGGAGGGACCACCCUCCAAGGCUAAAUACUACCUAGUGACCGAUAGCGUAUAGUACCGUGAGGGAAAGGUGAAAAGAACCCCGGGAGGGGAGUGAAAUAGAACCUGAAACCCUGCACUUACAAGCUGUGGAAGCACAUUUCUUGUGUGACCGCGUACUUUUUGUAGAACGGGCCAACGAGUUACGUUAAGUAGCAAGGUUAAGCACUUAAGGUGUGGAGCCGUAGCGAAAGCGAGUUUUAACUGAGCGUUCAGUUACUUGACGUAGACCCGAAACCGGGCGACCUACCCAUGAGCAGGAUGAAGCGAAAGUAAAAUUUCGUGGAGGUCCGAACCCACGAGCGUUGAAAAGCUCGGGGAUGACUUGUGGGUAGCGGUGAAAUUCCAAUCGAGCCCGGAGAUAGCUGGUUCUCCCCGAAAUAGCUUUAGGGCUAGCCUCAAGGUGAGAGAUACGGAGGUAGAGCACUGAAUGUCCUAGGGGGUAUUGCACCUACCGAAGACUAUCAAACUCCGAAUGCCGUCAUCUUAUACUUGGGAGUCAGACUGUGGGUGAUAAGAUUCAUAGUCGAAAGGGCAACAGCCCAGAUCGUCAGCUAAGGUCCCUAAAUGUAAGUUAAGUGGUAAAGGAUGUGGGAUUGCACAGACAACCAGGAUGUUGGCUUAGAAGCAGCCACUCAUUCAAAGAGUGCGUAAUAGCUCACUGGUCGAGUGAUCCUGCGCCGAAGAUUUCCGGGGCUAAAACUUACUACCGAAGCUACGGCAUCAGUAAUGAUGGGUAGGGGAGCUUCCCAUACGGGUUGAAGCAUGACCGUAAGGACAUGUGGACAGUAUGGGAGUGAGAAUGUUGGCAUGAGUAGCGAGAUGUGGGUGAGAAUCCCACAGGCCGUAAACCCAAGGUUUCCAGGGGAAGGUUCGUCCGCCCUGGGUUAGUCGGGACCUAAGCUGAGGCCGAAAGGCGUAGGUGAUGGACAACAGGUUGAUAUUCCUGUACUACCGAUAACCGUUUGAGAGAUGGGAUGACACAGUAGGAUAAGCUAAGCACACUGUUGGUUAUGUGUGCCCAAGCAUUGAGGCAGUCAGAGUAGGUAAAUCCG